rnacentral:rRNA from 1 species
GACGAACGCUGGCGGCGUGCCUAACACAUGCAAGUCGAACGGACGAGGCCCCUUCGGGGACCGAGUUAGUGGCGAACGGGUGAGUAACGCGUGAGCAACCUGCCUUUCAGAGGGGGACAACAGUUGGAAACGACUGCUAAUACCGCAUAACGUAUCGAGGGGGCAUCCUCUUGAUACCAAAGAUUUAUCGCUGAAAGAUGGGCUCGCGUCUGAUUAGCUAGUUGGUGGGGUAACGGCCCACCAAGGCGACGAUCAGUAGCCGGUCUGAGAGGAUGAACGGCCACAUUGGGACUGAGAUACGGCCCAGACUCCUACGGGAGGCAGCAGUGGGGAAUAUUGGGCAAUGGGCGAAAGCCUGACCCAGCAACGCCGCGUGAAGGAAGAAGGCCUUCGGGUUGUAAACUUCUUUUACCAGGGACGAAGGACGUGACGGUA